rnacentral:rRNA from 1 species
UACGUAGGUGGCAAGCGUUGUCCGGAUUUAUUGGGCGUAAAGCGAGCGCAGGCGGUUUCUUAAGUCUGAUGUGAAAGCCCCCGGCUCAACCGGGGAGGGUCAUUGGAAACUGGGAGACUUGAGUGCAGAAGAGGAGAGUGGAAUUCCAUGUGUAGCGGUGAAAUGCGUAGAUAUAUGGAGGAACACCAGUGGCGAAGGCGGCUCUCUGGUCUGUAACUGACGCUGAGGCUCGAAAGCGUGGGGAGCAAACAGGAUUAGAUACCCCAGUAGUCC